rnacentral:lncRNA from 1 species
GGAAUAUUCCGCCGGCGAGGCCCCUUCGUGAGGCGAAACGGCGUCACCGGGGGUGCGGACGCGGCGCGCCCCUCCACCUGCCCGCGGAACGGGUGGGGAACAGCGGCCAACCGCCUCCGCCCGAGCGCCGCCGCCGCCGCCUCCCCGAGGGGCCGCAGGUGCCCUCCCGCGGCCGCGCCCCGCCCGGGCUUCCCCUCGGCUCGGCGCGGCGCCCCCCGCUCCGCUCCCGGUACCUGGUGGUGGUUGUAGGAGUUCCGCUGUUGCAGGAAGGCGGCGGCGGCGGCGGCCGCCUGGUGUUGGUGCUGGAGCUGCGGGCUCACCGGGGACCUCCGGUUCUGCUGCUGUUGCUGCUGCUGAGGGAGCGAGCUCAUAGAUCUUUGGAUACGUCUCCAGAGACAUGAUGAUUCCAGCGUCAGAAUAAUCUGCUCCAUAACGUGACCACAUUUAGGAGACCAGCUCCUGGGAGGAGACCCAAGGAGACAUCUUGAAAUUUCUGAGCAGAGAGGCUUUUGACACAGAGUUGGUGUACGCCGGAUGGCAUCCAGUUGGUAGCCUGCAUUGCUGGUGCAGCAGGAGGAAGCAAGCCUCUGACAAGAGCUAGAUAUGUCACCCUGCAGGACUGCACGGACAGCUUAAAUGGAGUGUAUGUUUGCACCUAAGCAGACUGUUAAGGCUAGAAUUGAAGAUGUACAGAUUGAAAUUAAGAAGAGUAUUAACUGUAUCAUUGAGACUAAUUAUGACUACAUAUUCAGUAACAGAAGUGAGGUCAACAGCUCCAAGAGUGACUAUCGCAAUAUCCAGCAGCCAUAGCACUGACAUUGAGACUGGCUGGGCCAUGAGGUCAUGCUUCUGGGAGGAUGAAGAGGAAGGCCUGGAUGCACUGAGGAAGAGAGUUGAACUCAACUUUGCUAUACAGCAGAUGAAUAUUCACCCUGGUGUAUAUAUAUAUAUAAAUCUAUUUAUUUAAAAGCAAGUAAGUUCAACUUCUGAACAGUGCAUGGUAACUGUUAGGGAAGCUCUCUUUUUUUCUCCCACCCAUCUUCAUCCUCCUUUUAAACAUUCCUAACUUUGGUCGGGACUCAGAAACAAGAGCUCUUGAGUUCUUCAUGCACUUUACAUCUCUGAUCUGAUGAUCAGUUGUAAAUCAGUUUUAGCUUUGUCAUUUUCUACCAUUCAUGCUGUUGUGAUGAUAACAAAAUCAUGGAAAACCAAUAUGCCUCUUUCACCAUGUACAUUUGGAUUACGAAAAACAUAUUCUUGUGGUUCUUUCUUAGGGUUCGUUUAUAAUAUUUUAAUUAUUAAAAAAUAAAGAAAAGAAAUCAAAGAAAAUCUCCUGCCAUGAAAUAUGUAAAAAGCUGAAUAACAUAGAAUAUUUAUGCUUAAGUAUUUUGGAAAUGCGUUAUCUUUACAAAAGAAUCAUUGAAACCUGGGAAAUGUAGUGAAAAUAUUGUACUUCAAUAAAAUAUAUUAAAAAAGAAAAUAUAUCAAGUCAUCCAGGAAACCUUAAUUUUCUGCUAUAAUGAGAACUUGAGGGAAAUGUGAAGUUAAAUUUAGUUUAUUUCUGUAGGCACUAAAUUUUUAACUAUUUCUGCAUAGUUUUACUAAGAAUUAGGAUUGUACGACCUAAUCAUUAACUCCUCAACCUGCAUAAUUUUAGAUUUUUUUGCAGGCUUAAUCCAACUCUGGGACUGGAAAUCAUAUCUUCUAACUGUACAGCUACAAGAUGAAGGGACUAGGAAAAAAGCAGGGGAAAAUCAGAACUAUUAUGUUCAUCUCUUAUACAGAGAACACAAAACCUACUGUAAUUAUGUCAUUUCCUCUCUCAUUAUGGUAUUGAGAGCCCAGAUCCAUUUUUAUGUAGUGGUACAAAACAGUUUGCUAUUUAAGUAUAGCUUACAGGAGCUACUUUGCAGAAUUGAUAUUCACAUACGCCACAAAUCAAUUGUUCCCACGAUAUUAAAAGGGAAAAUUAUCUCGAUCUUUAAAAAUUCCCAAACCUUGGUAAAUCUCCUUGAGUAAUUGUGAUAUAAUUUUGGGUCAAUGUGCUUUGACCAAAGGUCAGUCAAAAUGAAUAAUCCAGGGAACAUUUGUUUUCCUAUUGGUAAUCCUUUUUUUUGUGCAUGCUUAUGCAGUUUGUUGUAAGUGAAGAGCUCAUAAUAUUUAUACGUUAGGAAAUCAAAGGGCUUUUCUCUCUUCUUUAUCUUUUUUGUCUUUCUUUUUCUUUUUCUUUUUCUUUUUCUUUUUCUUUUUCUUUUUC